rnacentral:lncRNA from 1 species
AAUGAUCUUGGACCACUUUGGUUUGGGCGAUACAAUUAGUAUCGCCCAAGCCUUGGACCACUAGAACGACAAUCCAGGCUAGAAAAUCUUCUGGUUACGGUAUGUUACUCAUUUCAGACGAUUUUUAGCUUAUAAAAAUGUCAUUUUGGGAUCAUUAGACUUUUUAAACUCUUGAGACUUUUGAGACUCUUAAACUCUAAAGACCUUUUACACCUGAUUAGCUCUUGUGCCCAGAAAAACUUGGGGAUUAUGAGACUUGAAAAAAUCGUAGACCUAGGAAAACCCUAACUUUAGACCACUUGAAGCGCUUAGAUCAAGAAAUCCA